rnacentral:misc_RNA from 1 species
GCUGGUUCUGGUGGAUUUUCAAGGUUAGAUUCAAAGAUUCUUUUUUAAUGAUUUUGUUCAUUAUUUCUGACAGCAUUAGUAAUUCUGUAACAGUUUAAAUCUAAAAAUUAUAAAAUCCCUUUCAUUUUGCUUUUAGUACACCUUGCAAAUGAAUCAAGCUAAUUGGGAGACAGAAUGCCAAAAUAAUGAAUUUAUUCUGCAUUGUCAUCAAAUAUCCAUUGAAUUCUUUCCUUAAUGCUUAGCUCGCCAUGUUUCUCAUAUUUAUACGUAGAUUCUACAGGAUAGCAGCAUUACCUAUCUGUGUCACCGUUGAUCCCACAUUUAGACAUCUAUUUGAUUUUACUUGAAUGUAUAAUGCAUAGGUACUUAUAACAAAAAGAGUAAGCAUGUAAAAGAGUCUGAUAUAUACCUCAUUUUGCUUGUGUAUGUUACUCUUUGUUAUUUGAUAAAUCUUUUUUUUAUCAAAAUUUUCACCUUUUCAUCCUCUUCAAUUAUG